rnacentral:rRNA from 1 species
GAGUUUGAUCCUGGCUCAGAAUCAACGCUGGCGGCGUGCUUCAGACAUGCAAGUCGAACGAGAAAGUUCCCUUCGGGGAAUAAGUAAAGUGGCGCACGGGUGAGUAACACGUAAGUAAUCUACCCUCGGGUGGGGGAUAACAUCGGGAAACCGAUGCUAAUACCGCAUAACGCAGCGGCUCGUAAUCGAGACAGUUGUUAAAGGAUUUAUCCGCCUGAGGAGGAGCUUGCGGCAGAUUAGCUGGUUGGUAAGGUAACGGCUUACCAAGGCAACGAUCUGUAGCCGACCUGAGAGGGUGGUCGGUCACACUGACACUGAAUAACGGGUCAGACUCCUACGGGAGGCAGCAGUCGGGAAUCUUGUGCAAUGGGGGAAACCCUGACACAGCAACGCCGCGUGAAGGAUGAAGCCUCUAGGGGUGUAAACUUCGCAAAUAUAGGAAGAAUCAAUGACGGUACUAUAUGUAAGCUCCGGCUAACUACGUGCCAGCAGCCGCGGUAAUACGUAGGGGGCAAGCGUUGUUCGGAUUUACUGGGCGUAAAGGGCGCGUAGGCGGCGUGACAAGUCACUUGUGAAAUCUCCGGGCUUAACUCGGAGCUGCCAAGUGAUACUGUCAUGCUAGAGUACAGAAAGGGCAAUCGGAAUUCUCGGUGUAGCGGUGAAAUGCGUAGAUAUCGAGAGGAACACCUGAAGGCGAAGGCGGGUUUGCUAGGCUGAUACUGACGCUGAGCGCGAAAGCUAGGGGAGCGAACGGGAUUAAGAAUACCCCGGUAGUCCUAAGCCCCUAAACGGAUGAAAUAACUUGGUGUGUUUGGGAGU